rnacentral:rRNA from 1 species
UAGUGGGAGACAACAGUUGAAAACGACUGCUAAUACCCUAUACUCCUUCUUACUAUAAGGUAAGUUGAGAAAGAUUUAUCGCUAAAGGAUGGGGCUUUAUUGUAUCAGCUAGUUGGUGGGGUAAUGGCCUACCAAGGCUAUGACGCAUACCUGGUCUGAGAGGAUGAUCAGGCACACUGGAACUGAGACACGGUCCAGACUCCUACGGGAGGCAGCAGUGGGGAAUAUUGCACAAUGGAGGAAACUCUGAUGCAGCAACGCCGCGUGGAGGAUGACGCAUUUCGGUGUGUAAACUCCUUUUAUUAGGGAAGAUAAUGACGGUACCUAAUGAAUAAGCACCGGCUAACUCCGUGCCAGCAGCCGCGGUAAUACGGAGGGUGCAAGCGUUACUCGGAAUCACUGGGCGUAAAGGGUGCGUAGGCUGGCUUUUAAGUCAGAUGUGAAAUCCAAUGGCUCAACCAUUGAACUGCAUUUGAAACUGAAAGCCUAGAGUUCAGAAGGGGCAGAUGGAAUUAGUGGUGUAGGGGUAAAAUCCGUAGAUAUCACUAGGAAUAUCAAAAGCGAAGGCGAUCUGCUGGGAUGAUACUGAC